rnacentral:rRNA from 1 species
GAUGAACGCUGGCGGCGUGCCUAAUACAUGCAAGUCGAGCGCCGAAGCGUGGUACUUGUUCCCACCGGGUGAGCAGCGAACGGGUGAGUAACGCGUGGGUAACCUGCCUUUGAGCGGGGGACAACAUAUGGAAACGUAAGAUAAUACCGCAUAAAAACUUUAAACACAAGGAUCAAGAUUGAAAGAUGCAUUUGCAUCACCCAAAGCUGAUCCGACGUUGUAUUAGGUAGUUGGUUAGGUAAAGGCCCACCAAGGCGACGACCCGUAGCCGGCCUGAGAGGAGGACCGGCCAAACUGGGACGGAGACACGGCCCAGACUCCUACGGGAGGCAGAAGUGGGGAAUUUUGGACAAUGGGGGAAAGCCUGACGCAGCAAGGCCGCGUGGGGGAGGAAGGUCUUCGGGUGGUAAAACGCGUUUGUUGGGGAAGAAAUAGUUUGGGGUAAAACACUGAUGGGAUGACGGUACCGAAACAGAAAGCAACGGCUAACUACGUG